AUACGUAGGUGACAAGCGUUAUCCGGAUUUACUGGGUGUAAAGGGCAUGUAGGCGGUUUAGCAAGUCAGAAGUGAAAUUCCCGGGCUUAACUUGGGCGCUGCUUCUGAAACUGCUUUACUUGAGUGCUGGAGAGGAUAGUGGAAUUCCUAGUGUAGCGGUAAAAUGCGCAGAUAUUAGGAGGAACACCGGUGGCGAAGGCGGCUAUCUGGACAGUAACUGACGCUGAGGCGCGAAAGCACGGGGAGCAAACAGGAUUAGAUACCCUGGUAGUCCGUGCCGUAAACGAUGAAUACUAGGUGUAGGGGGUAUCGACUCCCUCUGUGCCGCAGUUAACACAUUAAGUAUUCCACCUGGGGAGUACGGCCGCAAGGUUGAAACUUAAAGGAAUUGACGGGG
rnacentral:rRNA from 1 species